AGAGAGAGAGAGACAGACAGACACAAUGGUUACCAAUAGUCCACUCAAUGCUGAGGAACACUCAGAGAACCAUUAAAUUCUCUCUGAUAUGAACCCUAUUUGUUGUUACAGGGUUCUGUGUAUAGCACCAGAAAGGGUUCUACAAGCCAUAGGCCCAUUUUGGAACUAUACAGAACCAUUUUAAUAGUCUUUAUGUAUUCGUUGAUUGAUUUAUUAUUUGUUUAUUUAUGCUUGUUCAUGGCAUUUUUCUCGACAUGUAGUGAAACACUGAAAUCAUUCAAAUCGAUUAAACGAAGCGACGGGCUGCGCUGUUUGCAAGCGGUGGUCUCCCGUGGUCUCCCUCUCCCCCUCUCUCCCCCUCUGUCUCGGGAACUCUCUGCGGUCGUUUCCUGCCGCGCAGGCAGCGAGCGGGUUAUUUUGGCGCUACAGCAGCGGGCGAUGGAGAAACGCAGCCCGGCCAGAAAAUCUCUUCCCCCGCGUUCACAAAGCCUGCGGAGCGGAGCGGAGCGCGACUCGAACAGCUCCGGUUUACGGGAAAACCUCGUCUCAGGGCCGGAGACUCGGAGCGCUGCGAGCUGAACCGCGCAGCCGCCUGGAAACAGAGAAAAGACCGCGACGCGGAGAGCAGAGGCGGGAGGGCGGAGGGAGAUCGCCCCGGAGUUAAAGAGUCCCUCAAGACACGGAGAAGGAGAAGGAAAAGGCAAAGAAAGUGUACUCACCAGACAUUUCGCCGUGAAGAAGAAGAUGAAGAUCAGAGGAGCAGCCCAAACGCCUGUCCCUGGCUCUGUUCUAUGGGCAAGAACGAAUUAUUCACAAAAGUCUGCCAAAGUGUCAAUAAAGAGCCCUUCCAGCACUCUCACCAUAUACAAUAAUAUAGGAAUAAAGCUGGGGAUGCAUUAGUUUGAGUUUUUCUGCCCUCAUCCCUACUAUUUAAAUCCCCAAGAAGUCCAUGAUUUGACAAUGAUUUGAUUGCGCGAUACUUUCAAUUUGAAUAUUCAAAGACUUCGCAAAAAUACCUUUAACUUAGUGAUAUUCGCGAUUCGAAUGCAUCAAACAACAUCCCCCAUAACAGAAUAUCAUCUUAUUUCACACUUUGAGCAAAAAUGUUAAAUAUAUUUUAACAUUUUAGCAUCCUUUUGAUAUUGCAGCUUAGAGUCUUGCUGUAAGGCUCUGUUUCCACUUUAGAGCGAGCUGAGACCCUCGGAGCACCCCUCACACCCCUCUGCGCAGCGCACCUACACCCUAUAGUGGAUGCAAGUGGGUAAAAAGCGCACAUAUGGCGAUCUGAGGCCUAAUUUUAAUCAUUUUUUAUGAAAUAUAGGAGUAGUGGGCGUGGCAUAUGGUAGCAGCCAUUUUUGCCAUGAGAGCAUCUGGGGCUUGAAGCUGUGUGUCAUCUGUCAGCUACACACCGAGCACACACAGGCAGGGGCAUCUGAGAGCACUCAUUCCUAUUUAGCAGACAAAAUGACCUUGUAUAUAAUGUGUUUUUGGAAUAUUUGGUGGGAAAACAAACACACUCACUUCUGCUGUCCAGGCAGCAGCAAUGAAGCCCAGUUACUGGACAUUCCAAAAGCCCACAGUGACCACACUUUGUCCAGCAAGUGAAGACAAAGAUUCAUAAGCGUUGGAGUUAAUGUUAAUGGCCUAAUGUUUCAUUUAGUUAUAGGACGUCCUGUUUUAUUUAUUUAUUUAUUUAUUUAUUUAUUAUUUAUUAUUAUUAUUAUUAUUUUUUCCAUAUGGAGAAAUAAACGAACAUGCCAUGCUCAGCCACAUUUCCUCAGACCUGCCCACCAAUAGAUAAAUAAAUAAUAAUAUAUAGACAUAAUAAAAAAUAAUAAUAAUAUAUAGACAUUAAGCUUGGCUGCAUCAAAUUUGUGAAGGGACUGAACUUCACAGGAGACCAAUUUGACUCAGAAUUUCAUUCAUUCAUUCUUAUAAUGAAAGCAUUUGCUUUUGAGGCAUAAAUUGCGCCAAAUAUGUUAAUAUGCACAAACAAACAAGACAUAGGAAACAGCAAUGAUGACUUUUGUUUAUGCCCUGGAGGUUUUUCCAAUUUUUUAGACCAAAAGUGGCCAAAUAUUGCGCCAAAUUUCAUCCUAUAUCAUGUUGAGCUGUGUGCCUGAUGCUUUUUCGUUCUGUCCAGUGUUCUGUUCGCACAUCUGGCUGUACUUCUGUAUGUGUUUUAUGCGCGUUGUUGCAGAGAUGCGCCGAGUUAUGACGGACUCAUAGCUUCUGCUUCAGGAAAGCUCCACCUCCAGCACCUCUUAUUUGGAGGCGAUCCACCAAAACUGUUUGUAGUUCUGGCUGAUUUUGUUGAGGCUGGGAGGCUGAAUCAAUGACGCCGUUCCAGCAUCGAGUUAGUGGAUCGUCGUUGAGAUGCUGCACUCAAUAAAAACGACUAAAUACCUGUU